AGGUAAGGCAUCCAAGUGGUUAGGUGAUUUGUUGAAGAUUGCAUGAUGAGCGUGAUUGCAUGACUCAGCCAGAGUCUUAACUCAGACAAACAUGAUUCACUGAAGAAAUAAUAAUGAACCAUUACCUUUGAUGUAACGGCUGUCUGCACUUUGGAGAUGGAAGUGUGCCAAGACUGGGGAUUAAUGCAGUAUUAAGGAAGGCAACGUAAAUUCCACUUCUAGAUGAUGUCCCUAACACCUGAUAACAUCUAAGAAGAGCCGGAUCCCAAACAUGUCCCAGGAUAUUAGCUUCUGACAUACCUUGGCCAACGAUGGCAUCAACACUACCUACCUCAGUGAUUUGUGGAAUGACACCUGCUGUUCGCCUGACACUUGCCUUUGAUCAGACCCUACUCUGGAUUCCUGGAGGAACACACACCUUAGACCCCUUUCCAA